CAGUUGGCCUUCUAUCAUUUGUGUUUAAGUCGUACAGCAAAGUGUUUGAAAAUAUUAAAAAUUUAAAUUGUGAAAAAGUGUAUUGGUAGCUGAAGAAGUGUUCUAAUAGUGUGAACGAAGAGGAAAAAAAAUUCUUUGCAAAUGGCUGUCGGAAAUUGGGCUUUAGUGAGGAAAUUGCAAGUACGGCUAGGCGAAGAACCGGGAGGCUAGCAGAGGCGACGUAACUUAAGCAUGAGCUUUAAGGAAAUCAAUGAGAACAGAUGAAAUCUAGGCACAGGGCCGAUUUUUUUUUGGAUGAUUUUUUAAACACACUUGGCCGUCAAUUAGCUGUUACUGCGUACCCUAGUUACCAAUUAGGCAGGCUUAUAACAUGGGCAACAAAGUGUUGGGAACAAUUGAGAGGCAGGCGUAACAAACGAUUUCGGGCAGAAAGCUGCGUUGAAAAAUGUCUGUGUUAAGCCUAAAGCAUGAGUAAUCCAAUGGAUUUGGGAAGAUGAGUAAGUUGUUGGGCGUCUUUGAAAAGCAAUUUUGUCGUUUAUACAACUUCCGCUACAUGCAAACAUUAGUCUAUAACUAAAUGUUAUUGCAGUUUGCUGAUAAAAACUGAAACACAACUCAGUUAUAAUGAUAAUAAUUGACCAUAGGCGCAGAGCUCCUCGUUCGUAAGAAACUGAAGACAAAGCGAUAAACCCAUCYACUACAAUAUCCAUAGUAUAUCUUCUUCGACAUUGUUGUUUCUUCUGCCAAAAAAGCCCUUGUCAUCGACGGUAGAGGAAUGUUAUGAUGCAGAAUUGGUAUUUGUUUUGUUCCACUUACUUACAUAGGAUAUACUGUUCAUAUAAAUAUAUAUACGUACGUUAAAAACCCCCAAUUUAGCACAAAUUGUUAAGAAACCUAACACAAAUAAUUUUUUUUUUAUUAUAAAAUACUUUGAAUUAUAUAUUUUAAAGGUUGAAAGAGUAAAUCAAAUAACUCCAUAUGUACAUGUGUCUUAAACCUACAUAAAUCAAACUUAUUGAAAUAUUGUUUUAUCGGUUUCUUAGAUAAUUAUGUUAAUACAAAAUUACUGCGUUAUUUAUCAGAUAUGACAAAACCAAUUUAUAUAAAUCGAAACCAAACACAAUGCAGAAAAAACAUAAAAAAA